rnacentral:rRNA from 1 species
UACGUAGGUCCCGAGCGUUGUCCGGAUUUAUUGGGCGUAAAGCGAGCGCAGGUGGUUUAUUAAGUCUGGUGUAAAAGGCAGUGGCUCAACCAUUGUAUGCAUUGGAAACUGGUAGACUUGAGUGCAGGAGGGGAGAGUGGAAUUCCAUGUGUAGCGGUGAAAUGCGUAGAUAUAUGGAGGAACACCGGUGGCGAAAGCGGCUCUCUGGCCUGUAACUGACACUGAGGCUCGAAAGCAUGGGGAGCAAACAGG